rfam:Gossypium raimondii Chr09_contig_1478, whole genome shotgun sequence.
AUUCCGUGAUGAGGGUAUUUUCAUAAUAAUUCUUUGUACCUUUCCCAUGCUUCAUACAAGGACUCAUCAUCUAUUUAUUGGAAAGAAGUGAUCUUAUUCCUCAACUU